CGGGGGGAGCAAGCGUUGUUCGGAUUUACUGGGCGUAAAGGGCGCGUAGGCGGCCACCGCAAGUCGACUGUGAAAUCUCCGGGCUUAACCCGGAAAGGUCAGCCGAUACUGCGGGGCUAGAGUGCAGAAGGGGCAACUGGAAUUCUCGGUGUAGCGGUGAAAUGCGUAGAUAUCGAGAGGAACACCUGCGGCGAAGGCGGGUUGCUGGGCUGACACUGACGCUGAGGCGCGAACGCUAGGGGAGCGAACGGGAUUAGAUACCCCGGUAGUCCUAGCCUUAAACGAUGAAUGCUUGGUGUCUGGGGUUUUAUAGUCCCCGGGUGCCGUCGCUAACGCUUUAAGCAUUCCGCCUGGGGAGUACGGUCGCAAGACUG
rnacentral:rRNA from 1 species